UACGUAGGGGGCAAGCGUUGUCCGGAUUUAUUGGGCGUAAAGAGCGUGUAGGCGGCUAGGUAGGUCCGUUGUGAAAACUCGAGGCUCAACCUCGAGACGCCGAUGGAAACCAUCUGGCUAGAGUCCGGAAGAGGAGAGUGGAAUUCCUGGUGUAGCGGUGAAAUGCGCAGAUAUCAGGAAGAACACCCGUGGCUAAGGCGGCUCUCUAGUACGGUACUGACGCUGAGACGCGAAAGCGUGGGGGAGCGAACAGG
rnacentral:rRNA from 1 species